rnacentral:lncRNA from 1 species
UCUUUCAUUUCUCUGUUUUUUCAAUCAUGUUUCUCUUUUUUCAGUACAAGAGAGAGAGAAAUGUUAUACAAACACAAAAAAAUUAAUCAGUCUUGGAUGUUCAUUCUGAUGGAUCUCUCUUCUUAAGUUUUGUUAAUCCAUGCCCUAAAGCUUCAUUUGCUAGCUCUAUUAAUGGAGAAACUCAAUUUUCCAUUGUUUAUUUUCUCCAUCUUCUUAUCUUUCUCCUAUGGUUUCUUACACAAAAUAAAGUUUCUUGCUCCCAACAAUCCAAUUGCUUUUCAUUAACUCAGAGUUUCACAUACAAAAAAACCCAAAAAUAAAGAACUAAACUUUAUCGCACAAAAUCGAUCUGAUUGAUCUCAUAACUUCAGGUCCAUCCAACCAUUGGGCAAUAGAAAAGUAAAUUGUUAAAGUCAGAUCCAAGAAUCGGAAGCCGACCUUCACGAUUCUUCUUCGCAUCGUGAUCCGCCGAACAUCACUAGCACACGAACCGUGUUCUCCACCGCAACAGAACAUAUUCCGACAUGCAAAAAGAACUAGGCAAUGCUUAAUACUAUUCUCUCCUGACCUUAACACCAACUUUCAUGUCCACACCGCCCAUAACAGCAGCCUCAACAUCAAUACCUCACUUUUUCUGAUAGCCACAUCCACAUGUCCCAUGUCCACAAUAACACCAUACACUCCUUGCAAUCCCAGACAACUACAUCCACAAACCCAUGUCCACAACAACACCAUCCACUCCUCGCAAAUCCCAAACAACCACAUCCACAAACCCCUGUCCACUGAAGAAACAGACACGAUAGUGGUGUUGGCCGCAUAAGAAACAACGAUGGUGAUGGCUCUCGGAAACCGGCGAUGAUGGUGGACGGGAGUGGCCGUUGAAGAAAUGGAAAUAGUGGUGGAAUGUUAGUAAGGACUUUGAUAGUUUACAAAGAAAAACAAAUCUACAAAAAAAUAAAACAGAUCUAAAUAAAGCAAUAGUAAGAAUAGAAAUGAAGAAAGAGAUGAGAAAAAGGGAAGAGGAAGAGAUCAGAGAAGUUAAAGUUAAAAGAGAAAGAUUGUAGAAGAAAAAGAAAGAAAAUGAAGGAAAAAUAAGAAGAAAUGUAAUAACUUUUUGUUAGAGAAAAAAAGAAGAAAAACUCUAUUUCUCAUGAACUCGCGUGAGGACACUUUGGUAUAAAACACACAUGGGUUUUAACAAUUGUGUGCACCAAGUGAGAUGUGUUCUUUUGUGUAGUAAAAAAAAAAAGAAAAUUGUUGUCGUGUGUAACUCACUCUUCUAUUGAUCCAGGGAAAAAUAUCUAGC